AUACGUGCCAGCAGCCGCGGUAAUACGUAUGGUGCAAGCGUUAUCCGGAUUUACUGGGUGUAAAGGGAGCGUAGACGGAUAGGCAAGUCUGGAGUGAAAGCCCGGGGCUCAACCCCGGGACUGCUUUGGAAACUGUUUAUCUAGAGUGCUGGAGAGGUAAGUGGAAUUCCUAGUGUAGCGGUGAAAUGCGUAGAUAUUAGGAGGAACACCAGUGGCGAAGGCGGCUUACUGGACAGUAACUGACGUUGAGGCUCGAAAGCGUGGGGAGCA
rnacentral:rRNA from 1 species